UCAACCAAGUUCAGUUGCCCUUGAUUUUAACCUUCGUUGGAUAACUAUGACCUGGAUGACUGAGAAUCUUCAUAGACAUCUUUCAUUCCUCCUAAUUGACUUGAUUGAGUUCACCUGUUCACACUAUUUAAGGACUGCACUCCCUUUCACUCACUCUUUCACUUCCACAUGGGGUGGCAGUUCAGAUUGAACAACUUAUGUGUCUCUUAUUUUUCCUGAUUAUGUUGACAAAUGCAGAAAUAAAAUGUUGUUCAAAGGA